CCUACGGGCGGCAGCAGUGAGGAAUAUUGGUCAAUGGACGAGAGUCUGAACCAGCCAAGUAGCGUGAAGGAUGACUGCCCUAUGGGUUGUAAACUUCUUUUAUAUGGGAAUAAAAUGUUCCACGUGUGGGAGUUUGUAUGUACCAUAUGAAUAAGGAUCGGCUAACUCCGUGCCAGCAGCCGCGGUAAUACGGAGGAUCCGAGCGUUAUCCGGAUUUAUUGGGUUUAAAGGGAGCGUAGGUGGAUUGUUAAGUUAGUUGUGAAAGUUUGCGGCUCAACCGUAAAAUUGCAGUUGAAACUGGCAGUCUUGAGGACAGUAGAGGUGGGCGGAAUGCGUGGUGUAGCGGUGAAAUGCUUAGAUAUCACGAAGAACUCCGAUUGCGAAGGCAGCUCACUGGACUGCAACUGACACUGAGGCUCGAAAGUGUGGGUAUCAAACAGGAUUAGAUACCCGGGUAGUC
rnacentral:rRNA from 1 species